GAUUUUUGGUGGAAUCCUCAGACAGUGUUUCAUCAGAUGAGGAAAACGAGUUACUACUAAUGAUAGCUAAGCCACAUGUAAUGCCACAUCUUCGUUGCCAAAAUUACGUUGAAAAUGUUGUGCCUUUAUAUACUGAUAAAGAAUUUAAAAUGCACUUUUGAAUGAGACGGAAUACUUUUCAAUUUUUGUUAGAGUUAUUAAGACCAAAACUCUGCAAACAGACAGAAAGAUUUGGCAGAGAACCAAUUUUACCUGAGAAACAAUUACUUAUUGCAAUAUGGAUGUUGGCUACACCAAAUUCUUAUAGAUGUAUUUCAGACAGAUUUAAUGUAGGUAAAGGCACUGCAUGGCGAUGUGUGCAUAGAGUAAUAAAUGCCUUAUAUGCAGAAAUAAGGACAUUUAUCAAAUGGCCAACUAAACAAGAAGCAGAGCAAACUAUGGAAACCAUUCAAAAUCAAUACGGUUUCCCAGGUGUUAUUGGUGCGGUGGAUGGAACACAUGUAAGAAUUGCUGCGCCACAAGACCACGGUGAAUCAUACGUAAAUAGAAAGGGAUUUUACUCUAUUCAAUU